GCCGGGGCUGCUGCCCGGCGAAGUGCCGCCGGCUCCGCGAGCGAGGCAGCCCGCGAGCUGCCCGGUGCCCGCGCUGGCGGAGCCGCCUCGGAGGUGCCCUUCCCUGCCCGCAUCCCUCCCUCCCCGCCGGGCCUGCCCGCGCGAGGCCCCUCGUCCGCUGCCUCCCCGCCUCGCAGGCCCGCUCGCCACCCGCGAGCUGACGCAGCGCCCAGGAACGCGCCGGGCAGCGGGCAGCACAUCUGGGCUUGUCCCACGCGCCCGCGGCCCGGCCAGGCACGCGGCGUGGGAAGGCCGCUCCGGCUCGGGGGAGCCCGGGGGGCGGCAAGGCCCCGCCAGCGCGCUCCGAAUCCCAGCCCUGGGCUGGAGCCGCGGCGCCGUGGCUCUUGGCUCGUGGCGCGAGCGCUGGGCGGACAAGAUGCCCCCCUGCCUUUUCUGGUCGAGUUCCCGGGCAGCCCGGCUUGUUGCUGUGCUGGUCUGAGCAGCGCUGCGCAAUCCUGCCGCUGCCUUGAAAGCAGCCAGCUGGAAGCUGCUAUUUUAGGACCUAAAAAUUGAAGCGAGGAAGAAGAAGAGGAGGAAGAAGGAGAAGAACAUUAAUGUGAGCGCAGGAAUGCUUUAGCAGGAUUUCACUCAAGGGGAAAAAGAACAUAAAAAGUGAUGAUUCAUCUUCAGCCGAGCAGAGCUUUGUGUUUCUAUAAUCGAUGAAGCAACACUGGAAGUGCGAGGCGAGGCUGGGGAGAGGCGAUGAACCCCUGCAGCUCUCCGAUGAGGCUGGGGAGAGGCGAUGAAGGAGCCCGUCCAUCCCCUGGGGGCUGCUGGAUGCCUGGGCCUUGCGGGAGGCGGCGGGUCUGGGACUCAGGGCUUCAGGGCCGGGGGGCUGCGAGCGGUCGGCGCCUGGGGACAUGGGCCCUGGCUGCCCUCGCACACGGCGUCCCGAGCCCCAGGGGCUGGGAACGGAGCCCCGGGCCGGGCCCUCGGCGCCCUCCCGGCGUCCGGACGCGUUUUGAUUCAUGGUUUCGAUCCAAACCUGUUUAGCAGCAACAAAGACAAAAGGUCAUGAGAAAAGCGUAUUGCAUCCAAGCUUAUGAAAGCAGGCUGAAAUUUCCUCUUCCACUUCUGGGAUUUAUCUGCUCCUUUCCCAUUAAAAUUAAUGAUAACAGUG